rnacentral:rRNA from 1 species
GAUGAACGCUAGCGGCAGGCUUAAUACAUGCAAGUCGAGGGGCAGCAGCUUUAUAGCAAUAUAGAGGCUGGCGACCGGCAAACGGGUGCGGAACACGUACACAACCUUCCUUUAUGAGGGGGAUAGCCCAUAGAAAUGUGGAUUAAUACCCCGUAACAUAUCGGUGUGGCAUCACACUGUUAUUAUAGUUUCGACGCUUGAAGAUGGGUGUGCGGCUGAUUAGGUAGUUGGCGGGGUAAAGGCCCACCAAGCCGUCGAUCAGUAGCUGAUGUGAGAGCAUGAUCAGCCAAACGGGAACUGAGACACGGGCCCGACUCCCACGGGAGGCAGCAGUAAGGAAUAUUAGUCAAUCGACGCAAGUCUGAACCAGCCAUGCCGCGUGAAGGAUGAAGGUCCUCUGGAUUGUAAACUUCUUUUAUAGGGGGCGAAAAAAGGGAAUUCUUUCUCACUUGACAGUACCCUAUGAAUAAGCACCGGCUAACUCCGUGCCAGCCGCCGCCGUAA